rnacentral:rRNA from 1 species
GACGAACGCUGGCGGCGUGCUUAACACAUGCAAGUCGAACGGAAAGGCCCCGCUUUUGUGGGGUGCUCGAGUGGCGAACGGGUGAGUAACACGUGAGUAACCUGCCCUUGACUUUGGGAUAACUUCAGGAAACUGGGGCUAAUACCGGAUAGGAGCUCCUGCUGCAUGGUGGGGGUUGGAAAGUUUCGGCGGUUGGGGAUGGACUCGCGGCUUAUCAGCUUGUUGGUGGGGUAGUGGCUUACCAAGGCUUUGACGGGUAGCCGGCCUGAGAGGGUGACCGGCCACAUUGGGACUGAGAUACGGCCCAGACUCCUACGGGAGGCAGCAGUGGGGAAUAUUGCACAAUGGGCGGAAGCCUGAUGCAGCAACGCCGCGUGAGGGAUGACGGCCUUCGGGUUGUAAACCGCUUUCGCCUGUGACGAAGCGUGAGUGACGGUAAUGGGUAAAGAAGCACCGGCUAACUACGUG